CCCCAUGUGGCCAUGGGCAGUGGCCAAGCUCGGCCCAAACCGUGGAGAAAAGCCAAGGGCCCAGCUGUCCAGCACCCCUGGGCUCUGCUGCCGCUUCCAUAAGGAGCCCUCUGAGCUGCCCUUCCCAGGGAAGUGAAAGAAGUGGCAUAACUCAGCGCAGGUCUACUUGUCUUAGGCAACUAAGGUUAUCAGAAUCCUUUUUAUCAGAGAGGGGCUAGAAUUCAUGACCCCUGUCUCUAAUGCUCUAAUGACUGUACACUUGGACUUCCAGCACUGUCCCGUGUCUCUGUGAUUCAUGACAAAUCUGUGGGGCUGCAUUCAUAAACAUGUAUUUCUGGGCCCUUGAAAAGUUUAGCUACAAAUUAGAAGAGCACUUUCAGCCUUAAUUGGGAUAAGGCUGUUUUCUGCUGUGAUGUAUAAUAUUGGAAGAGCAGAAUGAAAAGUGGUUAGAGACAUGGGGAAACUUUCAUAGGAAGACAGAUUGAAAAG
rnacentral:lncRNA from 1 species